rnacentral:rRNA from 1 species
UACGUAGGGGGCAAGCGUUGUCCGGAAUCAUUGGGCGUAAAGCGCGCGUAGGCGGCCCUGUAAGUCCGUUGUGAAAGUCAAAGGCUCAACCUUUGAAAGCCGAUGGAUACUGCAGGGCUCGAGUUCGGAAGAGGCGAGUGGAAUUCCUGGUGUAGCGGUGGAAUGCGCAGAUAUCAGGAGGAACACCAAUAGCGAAGGCAGCUCGCUGGGACGAUACUGACGCUAAGGCGCGAAAGCGUGGGGAGCGAACAGG